ACGGGUGAGUAACGCGUGAGUAACCUGCCUUCAAGAGGGGGAGUAACAUUCUGAAAAGAAUGCUAAUACCGCAUGACAUAUCGGAACCACAUGGUUUUGAUAUCAAAGAUUUUAUCGCUUGAAGAUGGACUCGCGUCCGAUUAGUUAGUUGGUGAGGUAACGGCUCACCAAGACCGCGAUCGGUAGCCGGACUGAGAGGUUGAACGGCCACAUUGGGACUGAGACACGGCCCAGACUCCUACGGGAGGCAGCAUG
rnacentral:rRNA from 1 species